rnacentral:snRNA from 1 species
GUGCUCUCUUCGGCAGCAUAUAUAUUAAACUUGGAAUGAUACAGAAAAGAUUAGCAUGGCCCCUAUGCAAGUAUGACACCCAAAUUCGUGAAGCAUUUUGUAUUUUU